rnacentral:rRNA from 1 species
UACGAAGGGGGCUAGCGUUGUUCGGAAUUACUGGGCGUAAAGCGUGCGCAGGCGGCUUCUCAAGUCAGGGGUGAAAGCCCAGAGCUCAACUCUGGAAUUGCCUUUGAGACUGAGUGGCUUGAGUACGAGAGAGGUGAGUGGAAUUCCCAGUGUAGAGGUGAAAUUCGUAGAUAUUCGCAAGAACACCAGUGGCGAAGGCGGCUCACUGGCCCGGUACUGACGCUGAGGUGCGAAAGCGUGGGGAUCAAACAGG